ensembl:lncRNA
AAUGUUUUCAUGAAUAUAAGUUCUUACAUACAAUAUGAAAGCUCUGAUGAAGAUGAAAAGGCAGAAGGCCAGACAGUUUCACCGGAAGCACCAUUAAUGAUUUUGUGUUGAAAAGGACAGGUUCCGAGUGCGUCACUGUACGCAUCACAGGACUGGGAUACGCUGCUUCAUCUUGAACCCAGGUCUGACAUCAUAGGAACAGAACAGACAGAAACGUCCAAGGAGAGGCGUGACUCACAGUUCUCCAUGUUGUCUGAGAUUCAAGAAUUUCCCUUCAUUUUAAUCAGAUCCCAGGCAGCAACUGAACAGUCAGUUUUCAAAGUCGACGUGUUGGAAGCAGGAAAAAUGAGCAAG